GCUUAUGGCCAUACCACCCUGAGCACGCCCGAUCUCGUCUGAUCUCGGAAGCUAAGCAAGGUCGGGCCUGGUUAGUACUUGGAUGGGAGACUGCCUAGGAAUACCAGGUGCUGUAAGCU
rnacentral:rRNA from 1 species